rnacentral:snRNA from 1 species
GUGUUUACCUCAACAGCACAUGCAUAAAAAUUGGAACAAUGUAGAGAAUAUUAGCAUGGUCCCUUGGCAAGGAUGACAUGCAAAUUCAUGAAGCAUUCCAUAUUUUU